rnacentral:ncRNA from 1 species
UUAAGCCGGAUGCUUGGAAACUUGCACGUCCGGUUUUGAGGGGGGAAAGGGGCAGCGAUGCCCCUGACCUACCCGAC